AAACCCGCCCGGGCCCGAACCGCACCGCCGCCCGCAGCUCCCUCCUGCCCUCGCUCCCCUCGCGCCCGCAAGUCGCGUCGCCGGCGAUCCACACCUCCGCCACGCCCCGCCGCCGGCAACCUUCACCGCUGGACCUCCGGCCACUCCGCUGCCUCGCCCCUCUGCAUUCUCCUCCUUCCUCUCGAUCUCCUCUCACAUCUCUCCCUCUCUCUCGCUGAACAGGGACCUCCACGAGGGCCAUGGCGCCGCCGGCCCUCAAUCUCACCAGAUCCGGUCGCCUCCACGCUAAAUCUGCCGGAAAUGGAUCCACCCCGGCCAGAUCCGGCCGGAUCCGGCCGGGCCUCCUGCCGACGCCUCAUCGAGGAGUACAACUGUUGCCCCAUGCCAGCCAAGAUCCUCCAGAUCCUCUCCACCCAACCGCCGUCAUUGCAGGAGGACUUUGGCGAGUGGCUCACCAAAAAGCUUCCCCAAAUCCUACAAGAGGCUCUGGUUAGACGAGCCGCUGACAAAGACAUACCUCUAUUCUGAAUUUUUACUUGCAAAGAUGGACCAUCAGCUACAGAAUAUGUUGGCUAAACUCUCACAGAGGAACAUGUUGAACAAAGGACGUGGUAUAAAAGGGAAGGGACAGUCUAAACAGUACAAUGAUGCAAGUUCAGAUUUCAUAUGCUGUCUACCCUGCCUCAUGAAUAUGCUAGCAUGGUCUAGAGCCGACCAAGGAAGUCACAGUUUAAGAGCUCGAGGAGGAGGGGCGUGUGGAGGUUUCCGCCGCCAGUGGCUGCACUGCUGGUCUUCGUUGCCUGCUCCUGUCAGAUCUAGCAUGACCUAUCCUAUCGGUUCUCCAUCGCUUCACUUUGCUUCAUGUGCAUAUGUGUGGAGAAGAUGACGACCCCGCCCCUGUUCUUCGCCAGCCACACUCUCCCUUAUGCGCACAAUAACCAUCAUCGCAGAAGCUUAGCUGAUAGGCGGUGAGCUUUUUGGAGAAAGCAGAGACGAAGAUUUCUAUUGGCCAAAAAGAUGGAGGCGCCAUCGGAAGCACUGGCGAGCAACAGUCAGCCGAUGCAUCGACGAGCUGAGGCGGGCUUCCAAUAAAGAAAUAAGGAGGAUAGUAAGACUAUUGGAGGUCGCCAUUCAAGGAUUUUGAUAUCUGAAUGUUAUGACAAUAGCCCUCUGCGUCCUGGUGGCCACUGUAUGCUGCAGCGAAGGGCACACUUCAAUUAGUGUGCAGGCAAAUGCGCUGAUCCCGAGUGUGAUUUGACAUUGUGAUUUGCAGUUUAUCAAGGUCGUCAUUAGCCGAGCCGUUCCUAUGCUUCGACACACGACCAAGGAAGGAAAGAUCGUCUCCAGAGAUCUUCAAAAUAGUACAAUAUCAGGCAUUUUAGAGUACAAUUUCUUUAAGCUAAGUUUUUCUUUUGCAUGGAAGCUAAUUUUAUAUCUAAGUUUUUCUUUUGCAUGGAAGCUAAUUUAAUAUUUGAAGUGUAAUAGAUACACAUGCCUGAAUCUGGAUACACUCCAGUGCUGAUGGUAAUACUUUCAGUCACUCACAAACAAUAAGCUUCAGCAUACAAAGCAGAGCCCAAUGCUAUUGGAUUGGUGUGCUGGUAUGCAAUUCCUUGUACAUUUUACUUCUAUAUAGGAUUUCCGAUUACUGGGUGCAAACUUUGUACAAGGCAGUCUGAGCUACCACUUGGUGAAGAUGCUAUCCAAUAUGUUCAGUGAUACCCUUUUGUGUGUGUAGGGAAUCACUGAUAUGAUACAACUAUUUGUUAUCUGAAUUUUUGAAUAUAUGUACACCCAUGGUGAUGUUUGAGUGCUCAUUUAUAAAGCAUUCGUCUAUGAAUGAAUUUUCUGAAUAUUACCACAUGCAAUGUGUAUGUAUGAUAAUAGUAGUACACUUGCGAUGAUGCAAAACACUUUUGAUGAUGUUGUUCAAGUAUUGUACUACAGUUCCA